UACGUAGGGCGCAAGCGUUAUCCGGAAUUAUUGGGCGUAAAGAGCUCGUAGGCGGUUUGUCGCGUCUGCCGUGAAAGUCCGGGGCUCAACUCCGGAUCUGCGGUGGGUACGGGCAGACUAGAGUGAUGUAGGGGGAGACUGGAAUUCCUGGUGUAGCGGUGAAAUGCGCAGGAUAUCAGGAGGAACACCGAUGGCGAAGGCAGGUCUCGUGGGCAUUAACUGACGCUGAGGAGCGAAAGCAUGGGGAGCGAACAGG
rnacentral:rRNA from 1 species